AAAUGAAAAAAGCCGGUUAGUAUGGCCUUAAGAUACGAUUUAAGACGUUAAAUCAAUGUCAUUGAUAUCUAAUAUCGGAUCCAUUGUCUUGACUAAACAAUCAUUUUAAUGCAAAAAGCGGUUUAAUUAAAGAGUUGGUCAACUGAAUCCACAAGAUGGAGCUAAGAAUUGUUUUCUUUUCAAAGCUUGAUUUCUUAAAUUUAAUCAUUUAUUGAAAUGUGUUUCUAAAUUUUCGUGAAUUCUAAGUUUCAAAAUUUAAUAUCAACCUAUUUCUAUCAUGCUUCAGUGAAUAAAUUUGUGAGAAAAGGAUUGCAAGUUGAACAAACAAAUGGUCAAUGGAAAUAAUUGGAAUAAAUUGGAGAGCAACUCAUCUAACAAACUACUUGUUCUCGUGUUAAAACGUUCAAUCAAUGUUAUGCUUCUUAUGUUAUCCUAAGCUCCAAGAAUAUACUAAUAAUCCAUUCAUCAUAAUCAUUGUAAUGCAAGGAGAAAAGUGGUUUUUUUCACUGGAAAAGAAGGAAAAAAGAUCAUCAAAAUCUGUUCCUUCACAAAGUAAACACAAUUUGGGUUGAUUCUAUCGGGAUACAGAUUAAUUUGUCAAUGGAUAUGGAGCAAGUCUACCAAUUUCAAGAUACAAUUGAAAGAAGACACCUAAUAAUUGGGAAAAAUGGAUAUAAUUGGAAUGCAUAUUUACCUCACUUUCAUUGGAAGGAAUGGUUGUUGCAGUAUCAUUGAAAUGAUGAUAAUUAACAGCGUUAUCGUGGUUAUUGUUAUUUAAA